AUUAUACUCCCUUCGUCCGAAAAUAUUGUCAUCAAAAUGGACAAAAAGGGAUGUAUCUAAAACUAAAAUACAUCUAGAUACAUCCCUUUUAUCCAUUUUGAUGACAAGUAUUUCCGGACGGAGGGAGUAUAUA
rnacentral:pre_miRNA from 1 species